CUGCCCAUGGCCAAUUACACUCUGCUAAAAAUGAACUCUUUCGCCGACCCACCUCCUGGGCUGUCAGUGUUUCCCCUUUUCCUAUUUUAACGUUUGUGUAUAGUGGCAGGCGACAGAUGGUGUAGAUCAGAUCGAUUUGAUUGCAUUAGAUGAUUUUUCCCCCCUCCCCUCCCCAUUCCUUUCUGGAAGCUCGCAUCAGCUGAAGGCUACUGGGAUUCGGAAGCCUGAGAACGCACUGGGGGCAGAGCCAACCAAAGGCACCGAGAUCCCAUCCCGGGGCUUGUUAACACUGAAACGGGGAACGCGGAGGAAAUCAGCUUUCCCUUGCCCAAAGCCACCGCGCAUCAGAUGACUCUCUGGCUUUUACACACAGUUGGAGUUCGGCUUGAAACCGGGAUUUGGAGGGGAUCUAUCGCUACCGGUGACUUUCAAUCAAAGAGCCCGGAACGAGUUGAUGAAACUUAGAGGGGAUAUGGAGCCAAGCAAGUACAGAGGAAGAAAUUAGGAAAGAGCCAGAAACGGACCUACAGCCGCCACUGGAUUUAGAAAGGAAGCUCCUGAGCAACUCUGUGGAUUCUUCUUAGGGAAAUCUAGUUAUGGAUUUAUUGUCCUGAUCAAGCAGCAGAAGCGGGGCAGGAGGAGCUCCGGUAGCAAGAGCCACGGCAGCAGCAGAGACAGCCGACAGACACCAUCAGCCACGGCAGCAGCUUCGUCUUUCUGACUCUCUUCGGUGACGGGUAUUCUUGGGUGGAUAAUACGGAUUACGUUGUUAUUGCUUAAGAAUACGCGUAGUCGAGGAGAGUAUCUGCGGCAGGCAGCGGCCGCCCCCUCCCAGCUCACCAACUGGCCUCUAAACUACUAUAGUAGACAAGGUAGCGCCAUUCUUAUUCUUUUUUAAAAAUCUAUUCCUGCAUCGUGGUUGGUUUCUCCCCUCUCUGCUGUGCUAGAUGAUCUCAUGCUAUUUCUCCACUCAGAAAUGCUCCCUGCCAGCCCGGCGUUUUAUGGCAGAAGGGUGAGUG